AAUAUAGGUGACUAAGUACACUCCAAAAAAUUAUUCACGCCCUUCUUAGAUGUGACACAUUUAAGUAUUGUUGAAUUUAUUCAAAAAUAUCUAGUUUUAAAAUAUACACAUACAGGUGCUGGUCAUAUUAUUAGAAUAUCGUGAAAAGGUUGAUUUAUUUCAUUAAUUCCAUUUAGAAAGUCAAACUUGUAGAAUGUAUACAUUCAUUCCAAACAGACUGAUACAUUUCAAGUGUUUUUUUGCCAAAAAGGAGAUGAUUAUUGCUGACAACCAAUGAAAACUCAAAAUUCAACAUCUCAGAAAAUUAGAAUAUGGUGAAAAGGUCAGAUAUUGAAGACACCUGGUGCCACACUCUAAUUAGCUGACUAACUCAAAACACCUGGACAAGCCUUUAAAUGGCCUCUCGUUUUGAUUCUGUAUGACACACAAUCAUGGGGAAGACUGCUGACUUGACAACUGUCCAAAAGAUGACCAUUGCUACUUUAAAGAAGGAGGGCAAGACACAAAAGGUCAUUGCCAAAGAGGUUGGAUGUUCCUAGAGCUCUGUGUCCAAGCACAUUCAUAGAGAGGCGAAGAGAAGACAAAGAUGUGGUAGAAAAAAGUGUACAAGCAAGAGGGAUAACCGCGCCCUGGAGAGGAUUGUCAAACAAAACCGAUUCAAAAAUGUGGGGGAGAUCCACAAAGAGUGGACUGCAGCUGGAGACAGUGCUUCAAGAACCACCACGCACCGACGUAUGCAAGAUAUGGGCUUCAGCUGUCGCAUUCCUUGUGUAAAGCCACUCUUGAAUAAGAGACAACGUCAAAAGCGUCUCGCCUGAGCUCAAGACAAAAAGGACUGGACUGCUGCUGAGUGGUCCAAAGUUAUGUUUUCAGAUGAAAAUAAAUUUUGUAUCUCCUUUGGAAAUCAAGGUCCCAGAGUCUGGCUGAAGACAGGAGAGGCACAGAAUCCACGUUGCCUGGUGUCCAGUGUCAAAUUUCCACAAUCGGUAAUGGUCUGGGGUGCCAUGUCAUCUGCUGGUGUUGGUCCACUGUGUUUCCUGAAGUCUAGGGUCAAUGCAGCAGUCUACCAGGAAGUUUUAGAACACUUUAUGCUGCCUGCCGCGGACCAAUUUUAUGGAGGUGAAGAUUUCAUUUUCCAACAUGACUUUGCACCUGCACACAGUGCCAAAUCUACCAGUACCUGGUUUAAGGACCAUGGUAUCCCUGUUCUUGAUUGGCCUGCAAACUCACCUGACCUUAACCCCAUAGAAAACCUAUGGGGUAUUGUGAAGCGGAAGAUGCGAGAUGCCAGACCCAACAAUGCUGAAGAGCUGAAGGCCACUAUUAAAGCAACCUGGGCUCUCAUAACACCUGAGGAGUGCAACAGACUGGUGGACUCCAUGCCACGCCGUAUUGCUGCUGCAAGUCAGGCAAAAGGAGCUGCAACUAAGUAUUGAUUGCCGUACAUGCUGAAACUUUCCAUGUUCAUGCUUUUCAGUUGGCCCACAUUUCUAAAAAAUAUUCUUUGGUACUAGUCGUGACUAAUCUAAUUUUCUGAGAUACUGAAUUUGGGAUUUUCAGUCAUUGUCAGUACUAAUCAUCAAAAUGUUAAAUAUUUCAAAUAUAUCACGAUGUGUGUAAUGAAUUGAUAUAUGUAAGUUUCACGUUCUGAAUAUAAUUACUGAAAUAAAUCAACUUUUUCAUGAUAUUCUAAUAAUAUGAACAGCACCUGUAUAUAUUUAGUCAGUGAAACAUAAAAUUUCUCAUAAUUGAUCCAAUGGGAUUGAUUUGAUGUUGAUCAACGCAAAAUAAAUGAGUUCAGAACUCGGAGCAUGCGCAUAUCAUCUUCCUGGGCAUUACUCAUUAACAUAACGUCUUCUGGCGGGAGUGCACCGCAUCAGCAAAAACUGGGAAGCAGGUUGGAGCUCGGUCUUUGGAGAGGAACUCUAGUACGUCGGUGUGACCAGAUCCUCUACAACUAAGGUUGUGUGUGGACCGAAAGAGGCCAAUGAUGUCUUUACGGAGUUCCAUGCCAGUGCCAUUGGAGCACACACGGGUCAAAAAAAGACCCGAGACGCCAUUUCCAGGCGAUAUUUCUGGCCUGGAAUGGCCGUUGACAUCGAUAAAUGGGUGGUCGAUUGUAUUGUUUGCCAGGCCGGCCAGACCAUAAUAAAAAAGGAGGUAGAAUACACACCUAUAAAGGUCAAACACCCAUUUGAACUUAUAGGCAUGGACCUGGUGGGAAAUUAACUAAGACCAAAAACGACAAUCAAUAUAUCUGUGUCCUGAUAGAUUAUUUCACCAAAUGGCCACAGGAUUAUCCAUUAAAAUCUAAAAAAAGCAGCAGAGGUGACUGAAUGAAUCAUAAAAUCUUUUCAUCAGUUUGAGGCACCAAAAAGAAUAUUAACAGACCAAGGCACAGAAUUUGUCAAUACAGUAAAUAUGGAAAACAAGACAACUAUUUGACUGAAUACAUGUGUGCAUUGUAACAUCUUACAAAUAUUAGUGUGCCCACAUUCAUUUUCACAUAUAAAGUGUUCUGUGGUUAAUACAAAAUGCUACAUAUCCUGCAAAAAUGCUCCCUUUUAUAAUACUGCACCUACCAAACAAAAUAUAUAAUCCAAGCUAU